rnacentral:lncRNA from 1 species
UACAUCCUUACUAUCCUGUAAUUUCAUGGUGUUUUUAAAAUAUUAGUUGAUGUUCCACAUAUGAAACUAUAAUUAUUUGCAUAUAUAGUUCUAAGAAAUGAAUCAUGCACUGCUAUAUUUGUGUAAUAUAAUUUUCUAUCUUUUCAGGGCUGCCCAUUGUCCAUUUUUGUGUGUGGUUAAUUUGUUAAAAUAAUUUUUUUCAAAUCUUUUGGAUUAGUUAUAUUUUCUCCAGUAUUCUUUGCUUUACCUCAUAUGAAAGAUUUUUUUUAGUCUUUUGAGCAUUCCUAUAGACACUUACUUGUCUAAAGUCCACAUGAAUCUCCAGCUGGCAUCCAUGUACCUCAAAUUUCCGAAGUAUAUUCUUCUGUUGUUUGAUACCAGGCCUCCUGUUAUUCUUUUCUACUCCCUGAACCCUUAGGAAAUUUUCUUUUCUCCAGCAUCAUGUGGCAAAUUAGGAGCCCAUAGAAACACACUGAGUUACUCACAUUGAUGGAAGCCCAGUAUUUCUUCUGUAAGUCUGGCAUUAUUUGCUCCUUUUUACAUUAUUGAAAAGUGUGUUAUACAGUAAUUCCACAAAGAGUUGUGAAAGAAGUGUCCUCUUAUAUUCAUAAAGUUUCAAGCUGCUGAGGGUCAAAUAUUCCUUAGUAUAUUUUUACAAAUCUAGUUUUGUUGGAAUGCAUCCUAUUCACUGACUCAAGUGUGUUAGUGAGACUUUUCAAUACUGUGACAAAUGAUUUAUAGGAACAUUUCUCUUAGCUUGAGACUGCAGAGGGUGCCAGGAACAGCUGGUUUGCUGCAUUGUUUCCCAGUCUCUGUUGAAGCAGUGUUCCAUGAAGGCAGGACAUUAUAAAGCACAGAAAACAAUGACCAGAAUGUAUCAGAUCCAAGAUGUACCCUCCACAGUGUUGCCCUUGGAAACCUACUUCUGUAACGACAUUUCACUUUGAUAGUUUACUGCUACUCAAAUUUUAAAUCAUUCAUACAUGGAACAACUUUUAAAUCAUUCAUAGAUGGAACAACAUAGAUGUAUAAAGAAAAGAGGACCCUCUUUUCUUUAUACAUCUGAACAUACACACCCAGAGUGUGUUCCCCUUUACCCCUGGAUGUUUAGCAAUGAAAUCAACUUCACAAACCAGAUUAUCUGUCAUGCUUCAUGUACAAGUAUUAUUUUAGUAUUAAUUUGUAUUUCCAAUUACUAAUUAAAAUUUUCAUCUAUUUUUUAUCCAAAACAUAAUUUGCUUACUCUUCUCCUCUAUUUCCCCCAUUCCCUCCCAAUCUAGUCCUCUGUUUCUCUUCUGAAAGAGAUAGGCCUCCAUUAAGUAUCAACAAAGAUAGGAGUAUCAAAUUGCAGUAAGACUAAGAAACUGUGCUUGUAUUAAUGUUGGACAAGGCUUGGUGAAUCCUGUUGAAGAGAGGGAAGAAGGAUUGUAUAAGUCUGGAGAAUCAAGGUCACCACAAGGUCUCACAAGCAUGCUCAUGAAAAUUUCAGUCUCAAGCAUGGAUGAAAUGUUCUUCCCAACUUCUGAGAAGGCUUCAUUGAAGACAUGCUCACCAUACCUACCCUGUGGUAAGCUUCAUACAUGUAUGGUUGAUUUCUACCUGGGAAGCCAAAUCAGUGACUGAAGUAUCAGUAAGCAGUGCAGAAGAAACAUGGCUCCUUCUGUGUUUACAGAGAAAUGUCUCUAAGGAUGACUUUCAGCUCUGAGAGAUACUUCAGUUGUAAGGAAAGAAAUCAUUUCUGGUAGGGAAAGUCAUUCUGCUGCAGCAUUUGGUUGGGAUUGAUCAGACUGCGGGGAUUAUUUCAUCUAUGCGGUCAUAUGGAAAAGUGUCACAAAUGAUAGGAAUAAUAUAGAAGACUCCCAGGGAUCAGAAAAACUGGAUCCCAUGGAGAGAAUCAUGCAAUAUGCCAUGAAGAGGAUGAUUUGCACAGCCUGGGCCUUCAACAGAAGAAAUAUAUGAUGGAAGGAAAGGUAACACCUGCUACUACAGUCGAAAGGCCAAGAAAAGUUACAACAUGAUAUCAUCUCUUCAUGAAUUUAACAGAAGUUCUACAGCAAUGUUACCAGCAGUGUUCACCUUAAGAUUGCAUGGUGCUAAGGAGAAGCACAGAUAUAUGCUGGACAACAUAGAAAACACUCUGUACCAUAUUGCUUGUGACCGCAGAGGGUACCAUGAACAGCUGGCUUGCUGCAUUGUUUCUGGAUUGAAGAUGUGUCCCAUGACUGCAGGACAUUAUAAAGCACAGGAGUUCACUACAUGACAACCAGGAAGCAGAGGAGAGUUACCAGAAUGGAUCAGAUCCAAGAUGUACCCUCCACAGUGUCUGUCUCUGCUGCUCAGUGACUCUGCAACUCAAAUAAUAAAGCCAUGGUUGCUCUCUGCAUCCUGAGAAGCACACACUGGAGGAGACCACUUCCCUAAGCAGGCUGUCCUCAACAGAGAGAUGGGAAGGUCAAUUGAAAAACAUGCGUCCUCAGAGGGAUCCUUUCUGGGCAGAUUAACAGUGACUUCCAGGGUUUGGAGUCCUGCUUCAGUUGCAAAAAGGAUGGUUCCCCCCAGCUUUCAGAAUCAGGCAGAAACAUGAGACUGCUGUUGUACCUGUGAAGAAUUACUACACCAGGGUCAGUUCUCACCGGUCACCAUGAGACAUUCUGAGAGCUUGGAGCUAUAACAUUUGCUGUCAGUCUCAUUUAACAAUAUCACCCUAAUCUGAUCAGGAGGGAAAUUUUCUCCAUGUGGAUAUCUAGAUGGACCAUACUGAGGACAUUGUGAAUGACAGGGGAAUAGAUACCUGAAGGGAAUCAUGCCACUGACUCUGAAGCCAUGGCUUUUACAUUAAGGUCUGCCAUCCCUGCCACAGUCCAUGAAUCCUUUAUCAUCUACAAGGAAGAUGAUUCACUUUGAAAAGCUUUUUCUGAUAGAGACCAGUGUGCUGUAUCAUCUUUGGAGAAAUGCCUAUUUAUUUAGAUAUUUAGAUGUGUUAUUCAGGAAGAGAAACUGAAGGGCAACCACAUGCUGACUAUGGCCAAGAGCCUGGCUAUGAUCCACAGGAAGAUUGUUCUCAUAUCAGAAAAUGGCCACAGCAAGCAGUAACUGGCAUCCCAGUAUCACCAUCAUUCAGAUGCUUAAGCUGCCAUACACAUUGAGGUGGGAGAGAGAAAUGAGUCAGCAGCCCGGAUGGAGAUCUCCAAGAGUCUGUAUGUGCUAAACACCAGGAUCUCACACUCUUCAAGAAGGCCACAAUUUUAGGAUCUUAAGGGACCAACAGAUGUAUGUGACCACCUGCUGCAGACGAAGGAAUAGUGCAAAUUAUUGCUUAAUCUUCAGGACAAUUUUGGAUACAGCAUGCAGAUUUUUCCUUCAGAGCAGGCCUUGAAAAUAAAGAGCCCACAUCACCCUCCAUGCUUUAUUUCCCAUCAAGUGCAUGAAGAAAAUUUUCUGACUAUGGGAUAUUGGUAAGUGAACAGAUCUAUGCAUACAUCAGUAUGCCAUUAGGACUCAAUGUAUCUGUAGCUUAAUGAAAGAAAUAUGUUUUACACAAAUAUGUGACCAUUCUAGUCUCAGAUUCUUGGACAUUUUAUCGGUGUGGGAUAUUUCUUCAAUCCAGUAGUGUUAAUCAUAAUUUAAAAGUAGUUGGUUUAUACUGCCAUUAUAGUUAAGCCACUCUGUCAGCAAGAUGUCUGAAGACUGCCCACUAUAUUUUAAUUUAGGAAGUGUAGGUAAAGAUGGUGAGAAUUUUUGUUCAUUCUAUACAUUUGAAGAUAGAGGUUUCUGUCCCUGCCAGGUUCCACAGCAGCAUUGAACCAAAUAAACACAGAAAGACUUAUAUUAAGUAGAAGACAUGUGGCCUCAGGCUCAAGCUUCUUGUUUCCUAGCUCUGCCUUAAUUGUUAACCCAUUUCUAUUAUUCUGUGCAUUACCACAGCCUGUGGCUUACCCAUAAUAUGUCAUGUUAACUCCUUCAGCUGCAUGGUGUCUGUUAGAAACCUCUCUCUGCCUUCCUCUCUCUCCAGGAUCUCCUGAUAUCUUACCCCUGACUAUGCUUCAUGCCUGGCUGCUGGCCAAUCAUUUUUAAUUGUAUAAAAGAAUGUAUAAAAGAAACAUAUGUACCGAAGGACAUCCCCUAUCAAACUUUCAUCAUAUGUAGUUAAUUGGACAGAAUUUUCUGAGUGCCAGAUGUAUUUAUGUUCUAUGGUAAAACAAUUAAGGAGGAUAUUCAAAGAUAAGUUCUUCUAAUUGCAUUGGCUAGUAUAACCAUGUUUGGAUAUAUUCUGAGACUAUAGGAAACCCAAUAGCCAACAAGUAAAUCAAAUAACUCUGGAAACUGAGAGAUAUAUUUCUUAUGCUUCUUCCUAUUAUAAGAAUUACAGUUGUUACAAUAUCUCUCCAGUUAUAUCUCAGUGCAUUUCAAUUUCUUGCACUGAUUCUGUGUUUAUCCAUUUACAUAUACUUGUGUUUGCAUCCCUUUCCUACCUGUGAUAUAAGAGCAUGUUAUGUAUUAUUUUAUACUUCUUUGUGUUUCCAUCGGAAAUACAAUCUGCUCUUCUAAAUGUCAAAAUUUAUAACUUUUAUUAUAAAAUUAUUUUAUCCUGUAUAUACAAAUGCACACUUACUUAACACAUAAUGUGUACUUAAUCUUCUGAUUAUGAAUAACUAUAUUUAAUAUUGACACUUAGAAAGGAAGGUCUAUUGUUGUUUUGUUUUUUGUUUAUUUGUUUCUUUAUUUACAUUAGACAAGAGUUCUUUUUUCCUAGUACUCAUAGUUUGUCAGAAGUUUUUCAACUAAGUGUCUGGAGUCAAGUGAGGUUUCUCUCUGUGUUGGAAUGACAAUAUUUGGUGUGAUUGUAGUAAACUUUUUGUCAUUUUGUUGGUUUUGUUUGAAUUGUUUUUGGGUAUUGAAGUCAUCAAAUUUCUGAGCUUUGAAAUUCCCUACUCCUCUUUCCGGAAACUCUGGUCACAACAGAUAUCGUUUUCCACUGAACCAAAAACAUUUCUGUCCAUUGCAUGCAAUAUUUUCUGUGUCUGAGAAUAGUAGAAAGUUGUGUUAUUGAUCAGUUGUGGUUGGACACAGCAUUGUAAGUCCUUAGCCAUUUGAGCAGUUGUGGAAAUGUGUAACAUGAGGCCACUGGCAGUGAGACCAGGAUUUAUCCCUAGUGCUUGAAGUAGCUUUAUAAAGCUCAUUCUCUGGGAAGGAUACCUUGCUCAGCUGACAUAUAGGAGGGAGGGUGUUGGUGCUGCCACAAAAAGAUGUGCCAGACUUUGUUUUCACCAUUGGAAGGCUUAUUCUCUCUGAGGCAUGGAUGGGGUGGUUUUUGGGAAGGUGUGGAUAGCAGGAGGAGAGGAGAGAUUGGGAACAGGGAUUGGUCUGUAAAAUGAGAAAGAUUGCUUUAAAUUUUAAAAUGUCUUUCAUCAAAUUUUUAGGCAAGAGAAUGUAGUGAAUAUUUUCAAAAUUUCAAUAUUCACAUAUUAGUACUGAACAGAAUAUUUCAAAAUCAUAAUUGGCACUGAGAAUACAAAAUGAAUGUCAAAUAUAUUCAGAUGUGUUAGUAACAAACCACACAUAAAACCAUACAAAAAUUGUGAAAUUUUUCAUAAUAUACACAUAGUAGGAAUUUCUUUCCUAAAUACAAUACUUCAGAUCAGUGCAUAAAUAUCUUCACAAAGUUAGAUAUGGCAUACAAACUAGAGGUAUUCAGAAGAGGACUUGAAGCUAACAAUUCCAUGAACUAUUAAAGGUCCUUCUUGUACAUAUAGGAGAAAACUAAAUUUCAACCAUAUAUGUCACAGUAGAGUUUUUUUCCUAUUAACAGCUGGGGUCAGACACAGCGUAUAUUACAUUUAUUCUUAUCAUCCACUUUCAGUUUUACCGCGUUUGCUACAACACACUUUUGAGUGGGAGAGAAGAAGAAUCAGCACCUCAGAUGUAGAAAUUAAGUAUUAAUAUAGGAUUUGCCUUCAGUGCUGGAAUUAAGAUAACUCUCCUAUUCCUUGCCUGAUUUGAAUGCACACAGUCCAUCAGAGGCCAGGAGUGCUAAUAAAAGCAUCAGUAGCACAGCUUCUUACAUGUCAGUCUCAGGCUGUUCUCUAGGACUCACUUGAUCCUGGAUAUGACCCAAGCCUGAUUGUACUGACUCAGACAAUGCAGACAGCUCCUGACAUCUAACAGAGGCAGAACCUGUGGGAUUCAGAAAAGGCAGGGAUUGUUUGCUUCUCGGCCCAGAAGGGCUUAACAAGAAAAUUUGCACUUACGAUGUAAUCACUGCUUUUCCGGCACUAAUGUACAUAUAUUAGACAGUGCUAAAAUUGAAGAGUGAAUCUGACAGGACAUAUCAGAAAACGCAAGCAACAAUCAGCCCUUAGCACCCACGAUUCACAUCAUGAAUGUCCAGGCAUUAUCCUGGGCUUUCAUAAAUUUAGUCCGGAUGUAGCCCCAAGCAACCUAAUAUAUAAUUGCCCUCCUAUCUGCCAGCAGUUUCUAUUUUUUAUUUGGAUAACUGGAGUUUUGUCCAGUAGAAAUUAUGUCUUCUCGUGUUGUCUGCUUUCAGUUUCCCUGCUUCUAGGUCAGCACUCGUUUAGGUGGGAGGGAGAAAUGAAUCAGCAGUUCUGAUGGAGAUUUCCAAGAGAACAUCAGGAUUUGUCCCCAGUGCUGGCAUUGAGAUCUCUCUUCUUAUUGGCUCCUUUCCCAAUUGAAAUGCACACAGCCCUUCAAUCAGAAGCAAGGGGCCCUAAUAAAAGUGUCCACAGGGAAGCUUCUUACCAGUAGGGCUCGGGCUCUACUCCAGGACUCAGGAGUUCCUGGGUAUAACCCGAGCCCUACUGGACACUGAACCAGACAAGGCAGACUGCUGACAUCUACAGGAGUCAGAGCCCAUGAGAAUCAGCAAAGACAAGCAUUGAUUGAUACACGGCACAGGGGGCUUUCAGUGAAUAUUUCCACUUAUAAGCAUUUCAUUACAGGCAAUCAUAAUAUAUUUUGGAGAAAAGCUAACAUGAAUUAUUGGGGAAUCUGACAGGGUAUAUUAGACAAUGUAAGCAACAAUCGGGUCUUGGCAGCUCUGAUUCACAAUCAUGCAGCCCCAGGUAGAUUCAGGGGAUUUCAUACUGAUAGCCAGGAUGUAGCCCCAAACAGUCUGAUAUAUGACCAACCCCUAAUUGUCACCAGUUCCUGUGUUUUCUUUUUUAUUAUUGGAGUUUUGUGCAGUUAAAAUUAUAUUUUUCAUGUACACGUUCAAUUUGGCUGCUUCUCUGGCAGCACACGUUUUAGUGGGCAGGAGAAAUGAAUCAGCAGUUCUGAUGGAGAUGUCUAAGAGAACAUCAGGAUUUGCUCCCAGUGUUGGCAUUGAGAUCUCUCUUCUACACGCACAAUUUAAAUGCACACAGGCCUUCAUUCAGAGGCAUGACAUGCUAAUAAAUGUGUCUGCAGUGAGGCUACUUAUCAGUUGGGUUCAGGCUCUACUCCAGGACUCAUUUGAUCAGUGGUAUAACCCGAGCUGACUAUACACUGACUCAGACAUGGCAGACAACUCCGGCCAUUUACGGGAGUCAGGGCCCAUGGGAAUGAGCAUAAGUAGGGAUUAUACUUCUCAGUCAUCUGUUCCUGUCUCCUAUGCAGGAAGUAGAAUCAUGCUCUGGAAGCUAUUGUUUCUUUUUUAAAAUCUGACAUCCCUGUCUAAGUCUUGAAGUGUUGUAUCAUGUGCAAGGUAGAUAGUUCACUUCUGGCUAUAAUUCAUAUCAAUUUUGUAAAUUUGAUCAUUGAGGCUUUAUGAAGACAAGAACCAUCACAAAGCAGUACCUCAAGCCUGCAUCAUAAAAGAUCCCACAUCAACCUGUUUGUUUUAUUUCCAAUCUAAUGCAUGAAGAAACACUUCUGACUAUGGAAAAUGGAUACAUGAACAGAUCAAUGGAUAAAUCAUUUCAUCAUCAGGACUCAGUUUAUGAAUAACUGAAUGAAAGGAUUAGGUUUUGCACAAGUCUGUGACCAUUCUAGUCUUGGGUUCUUGGGCAUUUUAACAGUAUGGGAUAGUUCUUCAAUUCAAUGAUGUUAAUCAUAUUUCGUAAAAGUAGCUUAUAUUCUCAUGAUCUUUUAGCCACUAUGUCAGCAUUGAAGAGUAUCAAGUAUAUUUGGCUUUUGGGCGUGUAGAAUAAGAGAGUGAGAUGUUUGUUCCUCCAGAACUUUUGAAGUUAAUGUUUUGUGUCCUGCCAGAUUCCAUAGCUUCUCUGACCCAAAGAAACACACAAAGACUUAUAUUAUGUAUAAAAUGUUUGACCAAUGGCUCAGAUGGCUUGGUUUGCCUUAAUUGUUAUCAAAUUUCUUUUCAUCUCUGCAUUGCCACAAGGCUGUGGCUUACACUUAAUCUGGUAUGUUACUCCUUUGGCAACAUGGUGUUUGUUAUGGGCAAACUCUCUGUAUUUCUCUCUCACCAGCCUUCUUCUGGACUGGUGUCCCUGCCUAUGCUUCCUUCCUGGCUGCUGGACAUUCAGUGUGUUUUUUUUUCCUCCACCAAUAUAAAGAAACACAUAUGCACAAGGGCACCCCCUUUCAAACUUCUAUCCUAUGUACUUAGUUGGAGAGAAGUUUCUCAAUAAAGCAGGAUCUUCAAAUACAUUUCCCCAUAUUUAUGUUGCCAGGUAUAACCAUGAUUUUAAUAUUGUCGAUGAGCCUCUAAAGGGAGACUAUAGGAAAACAUGUAGUCCACAAGUAAAUCAAAUAUCUCUGUCAACUGAGAGUGAUACUCCUUAUGUAUCUUCAUGUUAUAAGAAGUCUCUAAGAAUGUAAUAGUGUAGGAAAUGGUAAAACAGGACCUUAUUUUCAAAAAGCAGUAAAAGGGAACAGGGCAUUUCAAGAUUCAGAGAUUUGAAACAAUUAAACAAAGCACUAAGAGCAAUAUAAGAACUAUAUCAGAUAUAUAUAUAUAUAUAUAUAUAUAUAUAUAUAUAUAUAUAUGAAACAUUUAGGCCUCAUAGCAUGAUGAAUUGUUAGGAAUAAAAGAGUAAGUUUAGGCUGAGAUGAUAUAGAUCUCAUAUCUAUAUUGACAUAUCUAUAAGUGACAGUGAUAGGAAAUUAAAGAGUUGAGUGGGAGUGGAAUGUGUUGUUAACACUGGUGUGAAAACAUUACUCAGAGUUCUCUAGUCCAUAAUAGCUUUGUAAAACGAAAUCACAUAAUAAAGUAUUUUAAAAUGGCUCACAAUAUACUCAGUUAGUCUUCUAACAACUUGUGCUUUAAAGACUCUGCUGUGAAAUGCUAAUUUUGCAUGAUGCUGUCUAUAUUGAAACCUUACUUUCCCAGCAUAGAAUUGCAAGCCACUCUCUGAUAUCUGAAUGAGGUUAGUAUUUGAAUUUAACCUGACCCUCAGUCUCAAUAACUGAAAGAUUUACAUAGAUGCUAAAUACCUAAAAAUCAUCAUAGUGAGAAAUUCCUAUUUUCUGCAAUUCCAUCAAAAGCAAUACAAAUCUAGUAAGAAACAGUAUUGUCAGAGAGAAGCAAUUGAAAAAAAAAGUUCUUAGCAUGUCCCAUAGUCUUUUACUUGUAAAAGAAAUUUAAAUAAAAAAAUUGAAAAGAGAAGGUUUGGUAAUCUAUCCAGGGUUAUUUUUAUGCAUUCCCAAUGGUUAAGUUUUAUUUGGAAGUUUAAUAUGUUUGUUCAUGUACUGUAAGGGAGAAAUUCAUAUACUAGCACACUUUCAUUUGUCAUUUCCUUGUCAUAUCAUAAUUCUUCCAUUAUUGGUUGAGUUGCAUUGUUUUAAUAUUUUACAUAACU